rnacentral:rRNA from 1 species
AACGGCCACAUUGGGACUGAGACACGGCCCAGACUCCUACGGGAGGCAGCAGUGGGGAAUAUUGCACAAUGGGGGAAACCCUGAUGCAGCGACGCCGCGUGGAGGAAGAAGGUCUUCGGAUUGUAAACUCCUGUUGUUGAGGAAGAUAAUGACGGUACUCAACAAGGAAGUGACGGCUAACUACGUGCCAGCAGCCGCGGUAAAACGUAGGUCACAAGCGUUGUCCGGAAUUACUGGGUGUAAAGGGAGCGCAGGCGGGCGAUCAAGUUGGAAGUGAAAUCCAUGGGCUCAACCCAUGAACUGCUUUCAAAACUGAUUGUCUUGAGUAGUGCAGAGGUAGGCGGAAUUCCCGGUGUAGCGGUGGAAUGCGUAGAUAUCGGGAGGAACACCAGUGGCGAAGGCGGCCUACUGGGCACCAACUGACGCUGAGGCUCGAAAGUGUGGGUAGCAAACAGGAUUAGAUACCCUGGUAGUCCACACCGUAAACGAUGAUUACUAGGUGUUGGAGGAUUGACCCCUUCAGUGCCGCAGUUAACACAAUAAGUAAUCCACUUGGGGAGUACGACCGCAAGGUUGAAACUCAAAGGAAUUGACGGGGGCCCGCACAAGCAGUGGAGUAUGUGGUUUAAUUCGACGCAACGCGAAGAACCUUACCAAGUCUUGACAUCCUGCGACGAUGCUAGAAAUAGUAUUUUCCUUCGGGACGCAGAGACAGGUGGUGCAUGGUUGUCGUCAGCUCGUGUCGUGAGAUGUUGGGUUAAGUCCCGCAACGAGCGCAACCCUUAUGGUCAGUUACUACGCAAGAGGACUCUGGCCAGACUGCCGUUGACAAAACGGAGGAAGGUGGGGAUGACGUCAAAUCAUCAUGCCCUUUAUGACUUGGGCUACACACGUACUACAAUGGCGUUAAACAAAGAGAAGCAAGACCGCGAGGUGGAGCAAAACUCAGAAACAACGUCCCAGUUCGGACUGCAGGCUGCAACUCGCCUGCACGAAGUCGGAAUUGCUAGUAAUCGUGGAUCAGCAUGCCACGGUGAAUACGCUCCCGGGCCUUGUACACACCGCCCGUCACACCAUGAGAGCCGGGGGGACCCGAAGUCGGUAGUCUAACCGCAAGGAGGACGCCGCCGAAGGUAAAACUGGUGAUUGGGGUGAAGUCGUAACAAGGUAGCCGUAGGAGAACCUGCGGCUG